rnacentral:rRNA from 1 species
AUUGAACGCUGGCGGCAUGCUUUACACAUGCAAGUCGAACGGACUUAGGUGCUUGCACCUAGGUUAGUGGCGAACGGGUGAGUAAUGCAUCGGAACGUACCGUGUAAUGGGGGAGUAACGCAGCGAAAGUUGUGCUAAUACCGCAUACGAUCUACGGAUGAAAGCAGGGGAUCGCAAGACCUUGCGUUAUACGAGCGGCCGAUGUCGGAUUAGCUAGUUGGUAGGGUAAAGGCCUACCAAGGCAACGAUCCGUAGCGGGUCUGAGAGGAUGAUCCGCCACACUGGGACUGAGACACGGCCCAGACUCCUACGGGAGGCAGCAGUGGGGAAUUUUGGACAAUGGGCGCAAGCCUGAUCCAGCCAUGCCGCGUGAGUGAAG